rnacentral:lncRNA from 1 species
CGAAAAAAUAUUUUUAAAAACGAAGAUAAAUUUAUAACAUGAAAUGCAAAAAGUCAAAAAUAUAUUUGGUGUUUUUAGUUAAAAAACUCAAAACACUCAAACACGCUAAAUUAGUAAAAUCCAAAUUAGGACCCAUAGAUAAUUUCCCUCUUUCUCUUAAUCGAUUCUUCAUCUAAUUCUUCACGUUGGAACCUGAACCGAUUUUGCCUUUUCUCAUUCUUAAUCAAUUCUUCAUAAUAUAACCCUUAAUCGUUUUUCCCUCUCUCCCUCUUAAUCGAUCUUCAUCCAAUUCUCCUCUCACUGACACUCCUCCAUUCCAACGACGCUCCUCCAUUUUGGAUAUUGGCUAUUGUGAAGUUUUGUGGGUUUAUCAUAUUCUUGCUAUUUCUGUUGAGGUUUGGUGGGUUUUCGCUUUUCGGUUAACUUUUAAUUACUGAAUUUAUUAUGUUACAUAAAGCAUGAAUAGUUUUUGGGGAAAUUUAGUAGAUUUUAGUUUUAUGUAAAUAGAUUCUUACCUAAUGAGUCAUGGCAUUAUGGUGAUGAAGUUGUUGAAUUUCUGGUAAUAUUUUAUUUUAAAUUGUAAUUUUGUAAGAAUUUGACUGUGUUACUUUAUGGUUUGUUUAAUUUCACACUAAUAGCCUUCUGGUCUUCAAUUUUGGUGAAUGAGUACACAUGGAAGAUGGUUGAACACUUGAAUUAAGUAUUUAUAGGCAAUAUUUUUUGAGUUUAUAAAACUUUCCAGUUUGAGGAUUAGAAUGAUGAAAAUAAUAAUGAUCCUCCGUUUUUUGGUGAGGAUCCCGACAUCUGGGUAGCUUUUGGUUCUACUCGUAAGGAUGAAAUUGGGGAAAAAAAUAUAUGACUGCGGAACUUGAUUAUGACUCUUCAGGGUUCAAAAAGAAAUUUCAAUAAGCUCGAGUAGAUAUUCUCCACUCCUAUUCAAUGAUGGAUGCAAUAAUAUGUCAAUAUAUCCCAUGAUUUCUUAGUAUGUUUUUUUAAAGAAAAAGGAGAAAUCAAAAUCUUUCUCAUUUAGUGUCUGGACAAAUUUGCUUGUUUAGACACUGCAAAUGUCCAGAAUUCCGAAAUUCAAUGUCAUCCUCACUUUUUUUCUAUGGAACUUACUUGUGUGACAACUAGGUUGAAAUUAGUACAUCUUUGCAAAUUUUUCAAUGACAAUUUCUCUGGAGUUUGUUUCUAGCUCUAACUGCUAGAUAAUGGAGUUGAAAAUCAAGUAGGAUUGUUGUGUAAUUGGUCUCCAUAGAAUUUUUAUCCUUGCCCAUUUUAUCUAACUUAUGCCUCUUUACACCUGCCAAUUUCAGCAGAUAAUUAAAUUAUCAUUUUUGAAUAUUUUGUUUUAGAUUAUGCUUAAAUAUUUUGCCUCUAGUGUUCCCUUUCUUCUUCUCCUACUGUCUUGUUAUUUAUAUUUUUCACAAGUGUGUUGUGGUACUUUUGGCUAUGUUCUUAUGCAUAUAAUUCCAACGAAAAGAAUAUUUUUUAGAAAAAUGGAAUCUGUGGUUAUAUUUUGGUUAAGUUGUUAAUAUGUGUUCACUAUCUUCAUUAGAGGUAAGAAUAUGGAAAUAAUGUCAUGGUCCAAUCAGAACAAACACCUUUUUAUUGGAAUAUUUUACAAUAAUGUGAAAGCAAGAAAGUUGCAAUGCUUCACAUUUACAUAAAAAAUUAUUAAGGCCAGAUCAAUCAAGAUAUGAUUGUUGCUACAAAAUCUGAUUAUGGGAUAGAGAGAUUCAAGGGUAAGUGAAACCAUUUACGUGAGGUGCAUCGCUUGUUCUCUGACCUUUUAUGGCAUACAGGUGUUACAUGGGAUCCAAAUACCAACCAAGUGAAUGCUACAAAAGAAGUUUGGCAACAAUUUUUUCAUGGUAUGUAUUGUAAAAGAAAAUUUUUAACAUCACUGAUUUAUGAUAUCAUUUAUGUUUUACAUUUCACUAUACAGUUUAUUAAUGUGAGUUUUUUAUUGUACAUGACAACAAUGACUACUAGACAUCAGGAAGGAAGGAUGUAAGCACUAUGAAUUGCUUGGAGUGACUUUUAGUGGGACCACAACUGCUGGAGGUCUAGGCAAUGCUUCUACUCAGCUAAUUUGAAUGUCAGAGGAAGAAAGACGGAUAGAAGAUGAGUUUUUGAGAAGUGGAGUGCAUGUACGCGUGGAAAAUGAUGAUGGUGAAGUUUCAAAUAUUCAUCGAUGUGAUGAUACUACAUCCAACAAACGCCAACAUAAGGAACUCAAAAUCAAUAAAGGUGAAAAACUUGAGGAAUUUAUGGCGCAAUGGUCCUCUACUGUUAGUACGAAGAAAGAGGAAACAGAACUUAGGAUGCUAUACCUUAAAAAAAAGCUUGCCCAAAUCCAAGAAAAAUCAUCUAAUCACAAGGGCACUAGUGAAGUUACUCGUCCAGACCCUUAUUCAAAUAUGGAGUGUUUGAACAUCUUAAACAAUAUGGAAGGUAGUGUCUAAUGAGAUUUACAUGAAAGCAAUAAGGUCUUUUAAGGAUCUAGAUUUCAGGAUGACAUUUGUGAUGAUGCCAAAAAUUAGGAGAUGACCUAUCUUGGAACUUCUUUGAUUUGCCUGAUUGGUCAGGUUGAGUAUUUUGAACUUUCAAUAUAAGAUUGUGUUUUCUUUAUAUAUUAAUUAUGAACUUUGUAAUUCUCAAGAUUUACUAGUAGUUUUAUUUUAAUUGAUGUAUUGGAUUUUGAUAUUUAUAUAUGUUGGAGUAUUAGUAUAAAUGAUUAUGGAAAGUGC